GGGCUCACACAAGCGGUGGAGCAUGUGGCUCAAUUCGAAGCAACGCGAAGAACCUUAUCCUAGGUUUGACAUGUAUGGAUUAGUCGGCAGAAACGUCGAUGACACUCUUGUAGUGGAACAUACACAGGUGCUGCAUGGCUGUCGUCAGCUCGUGCUGUGAAGUGUCGGGUUAAGUCCCUUAACGAGCGAAACCCCUGUCGCCAGUUGCCAACGGGUCAUGCCGGGGACUCUGGUGAGACUGCCGGUGUUAAACCGGACGAAGGUGGGGAUGACGUCAAGUCCUCAUGGCCUUUAUGCCUAGGGCUGCACACGUGCUACAAUGGCGCGCACAGAACGAUGCAAGACCGCAAGGUGGAGCAAAUCGCUCAAAACGCGCCCCAGUUCGGAUUGAGGGCUGCAACCCGCCCUCAUGAAGUCGGAAUCGCUAGUAAUCGCGGAUCAGCUACGCCGCGGUGAAUAUGUUCCUGAGCCUU
rnacentral:rRNA from 1 species